rnacentral:lncRNA from 1 species
AUGCUGGGGAGGCACGGAGAUAAUACACAUAGAAUAUUUCACCAGGUGCCUGGCGCAUCGUCGGUGGCUGGGCAGCUGAAGACUCCAGGUUGGGAAACGAAUUUGCAGGGGUCCUGGAGACCAUCCUGGGACGUGAAGCAGCAUCCCCUUGCUCUUGUCUGGACCAGGGGCUACCGGACCAUGUGGAGAGGUUUCUGGAAGCCCUCCGCACCCCCAAAUUCCAGCAGGCACUCAGGUGCCCGACGGAAGCCCAGUCCAGCCGGCUGUGGGUUUGGAGAAGGGCCUGGGUCUUCCCACAUCUCUGGAAGGCUGACUCUGGCCUCGGUCUGAUUGUGCUGGCCUGGAGUCGUCUGGGGUAUCAGGAGACAUGGCACAAUCAGCCACGCCCUCUCUGGGCAGGACUAUGUCCCGACAGCAGACAUUCCAUGGCUGCAUGACCUCUGCUGAUGACUUCCUCUCUCUGAGUCUCAGUUUCUGUCUCUUCAAAAUGGGUUGAUCCUGGCGUCCACGCCUUGGCCUUGGUGGCCCUGGCCUGAUGCAUUGGCAUCGUGUGUGCGUGUUGCACUCUGUAAAUAAUAUUUACUGUUGUUAUUAUCACCAUCGCUCCUGUAUUUCCACCUCAGCUCUCCGUGCCUCAGUGUCCUCAUCCGGAAAAUGGGGAGAAUAUUUCCCGCAUUGUCAAAACAACCCGAUGAAACGGUUGCAGGCUUAGCACAUAGUAGGGGCUCCAUAAGAGCCCUGUGUUUGCCUGCCUGCUCAGACUAGCUGCAUGACUUUGGCAAGACGUGCUGGCCCCUCUCCAGGCCUCAGUUUCCUCAUCUGGGAUGAGAUCGGUACAGACAUCCUUUCUUGUCUCUUCGGAGGUCUCUUGGCCACACUGGACUAGAAUGGGGUUCCCUGGUGGCUGCUUGUUGGUGGUGACUCCACAGUGCCACCAAGUGGCCACUGGUCCACCCUGGGGGAGGCUUGGCAUUUGGGGCUGGGGGCAGAGGUGGGCCUGACCUCUGUGACCUUGCCAGAGCCCCCAGGCCCAGUACAUGCAGGGGGAGAGAACUGCCUAAGGGCACCGGGCCAGGAGUGAAAAGGGAAAGCCCAGAGUUCCGGGCUGUGGUCCUGCCUCACGCUUGCUGGGUGACCUUGGGUCAGUGCGUUCCCCUCUCUGAGCCAUGCUUUCCUCCCUACAUGGGACCAGCACGGAGGCCUCCCCCACCAGCCAUGUCUCCCACCCUCGUGGCUGGUCCAAGGCUACAUUCCCUUCCUAGUUCACAAUUUUAUUAGGCGCCUUCUCUGUGUUAUCAGGGUAAACAACAACGGUGAGAGUGAUAAUAGUAACUGAUCAUCGGUGAUGAGAGUUUAUUCUAGAUCAGGUUUUGUGCUCAGCAUUUGAUCCGCACCAGCAUAGUUAAUGAACACGGGGCAGAACUUUCUAAGCACUUUACAGAAAUUAACGCACGUAAUCCUCACGGCAAAGUGAGGCUCAGGGUGGAGAAUUGAUUUUUUUUUUUUUGUUGUUAAAUUCACUCACUAAGUCUUUGCUGAGCACCUACUCUGUGCUAGGCAUCCUGUUCAGUACUGGGGCCCAGGGGUGAACAUCAGAAAUACAGUCGUAACUUGGUUUCACAGUUUAGUGGGGGAAACAUAUAGUAAGUGAGAAGACAGCAGUGAAUACAAAAUUGGGAAACGUUAUCAAAGAUAUAAAGGAAAACAAUAGGGAGAAAUGAGAGGGAAGAGGGAAAAAGGCAGGGUAAUCAAGGAAGGCAGCCUGGAGAAGGUGAUGUUUACGCUGAGGCCUGAGGGAGGAUUAGGAACCUGCAAAGCAUGGAGGCUGAGGGAACAGUCUGUGCAAAGGUCCUGUGGUAGCAACAAGCUUGCCCCAUUGAGAAACCUGUAGGAUACCUAUGACGAUCCUCAAACCCAGGACCCCCUCCCUAUGUCCAGUUUCCAUUGGGCACUGAAGUUUACAUCAGGGAUUCUCAGAGUCUGAGAAGAUCUCCAGGGAACUCUGAAUAAAAUUCUAUGCUUGGGCCUGUCCCUGGGCA